ACUCGAAGCAACACCACCGUAACGAAACAACGCGCACACCUCCGCCUAGUUUCUCUUGCGCGGAGAACUAGCGUCGUCUUUCGCUCUUUCUUCGAGUGGGCUUAAUCUGCGAUACACUGUGUACUCGAGAGUUAUCAGUUCCAGCGACCACGUGGUCGAAAAGGCGUCGAACGUAGCGAGCAAGCUGGCACGAUGCUUUUCGUGAAUUAGUCGCGAACCGAUCGUCCAAGUAGCAUCAACACACGAACGAAUCCGUGAACUUUGCCAUUUUGAGAUAUCAGGAGCCCUUCUUCUCAGUCGACGGACACGUGGAUCGGCCGAUAUCUCUCUUCAAACGCAAGGACGACGCUUCUAAGCGAUCUCGUCAAAGGCACGUGUCCCCGUUUGUGGACGACGAGGAGGAUUGUUGCGAAUCGCGAAGGAUCAGUGUUUGAUAUUGUUUAUACUUUAAUCCAAGAUUAAACGUCGUUGCAGACACGCUGGUUUUAAACGAGGAAAGAGUUCGGAAACGUCGUGCCUACGACUGUGUGUCACGGGUCGUUUGAACAUGACCUUUCGUACGAUAUAUCUAUACGUGGAGCUACACGAUAAUGACGACAACACUGCAGUUCAAUGGUGCAAAUAUUCUUGAAAAAUCCGAGGAACAAGGGCAGAGAACUUUGGACAAGUGUCAAUUUUUACAAUCGAAUUUGAGGCAAUUGUGGAUCAUAAAGACGUUCGUAGUCUCUUCCAGGCGCAUUUAAACGAUCAAGGAUAAUUUACCCCCUGAUAAGGGUAGUUGAGGACAAAAACAUCGUCUACAUGCAUGCUUCUUCUCGAGCUCUGUGAUUUGCUGCAACGGCUCCCCGGCACGUCGUUUCAGGCUGGUCAGCUGGCAAUUCGCG